UGAACGUUCUAACACAGAGAUGCCUAGAUGUUAACCAAGAGGUACACGCCUGCUUUAUAGACUUUGAAAAAGCCUUUGACAAAGUACGCCACAGUAAACUCAAAGAAAUCCUAGAGA
rnacentral:lncRNA from 1 species